rnacentral:rRNA from 1 species
UACGUAGGGUGCGAGCGUUAAUCGGAAUUACUGGGCGUAAAGCGUGCGCAGGCGGUUCGUUGUGUCGGCGGUGAAAGCCCCGGGCUUAACCUGGGAAUGGCCGUUGAAACUGGCGAACUGGAGUGUGGCAGAGGGGGGUGGAAUUCCGCGUGUAGCAGUGAAAUGCGUAGAGAUGCGGAGGAACACCGAUGGCGAAGGCAGCCCCCUGGGCUAACACUGACGCUCAGGCACGAAAGCGUGGGAAGCAAACAGG